UUUGGCAGGCGGGAUUUUGUAAGAGGCUUGUAGCUGAGGGCGUAAACUAAAUUGACCGCCAACGGCGUUGUAUGGGCAGCCAUAGUCUCGCUGCUACUGGGGGUUUUGGAGUCAGGGGCUCUUAAACGGUGCUCUGAAAGGUUGGCUCCCUCUGGGGGUGAGUUAACGCUGAUGGCAGGUGAAGAGAAAGAGGAGAAAGCGAUGACAUUCGAACGUCAUCCAGCGGAUCCGACCGGUCUCAUAGUGGAUGGGAGCGUGUCCAUCUUCCGUUUGGAAUUUGGAUGUCGAGCGACCAACAUCGCCCCGAACAGGCUCAGCAAAAAUCAUUAAUGAAAAAGUUCCAAAGUCAAGAAAAGAAUAUUGUCAAAGCGCGAGUGGUAUCCAGCAGCAGCAAAGCAAAAGUCGCGGGACUACGAUAACUGAAGCUAGGUCGGCCACUGGGGCCAAGAUUGACGGAUUUGGCGCCUAGCAAUUUGGGCUGGCGAAGCAGCGGCGCUCCAAGCAGCUGAUCCGUCGCAGCACAGAGCGAGGGAGCAGAGACGCAGAAAAAAUUCAGAGAGGCUCGACCUUCGCGGGCAGCCGGAUCGACGUCG